rnacentral:lncRNA from 1 species
CGCGAGCAGGGCGUGCUGAGUGGCGGAGGGCCGGUUAGGCUACGGCACUGCGUGAUGUGCUCUUGUUGUCUUUUGCCUUAUUAUUAUUUCUCUGCCUCCGUGUUAACGGGUUCCCGCAUGAAUCAGGGGUGUCAGGGUUUCAGGAUGAGUGCAUUAAAACUUUGGUACUGAAGGAGGUGUUCCUCACGGACCUUCUUGACAGAUCACGGAGGCAGCAGGGCCAGCAGGUGGCAGCAGCCUGCAAGGAAGGGCUGGAGGGCAGAUCCAUAUCCGAACGGCCGGCUUGAGCCGGCGGCUUGGCUCGUGUGCUGCCGUGCCUGAGGCACCCCGGCACGGUGCAGUCCUUCUGCUUUUUGGUCUCCUGACGGCAUGUUAGGAGUUAGGUGUUCCUCCUGCCGGCUCAGAUCGGGCUACAACUUUAAUAAGCCUCCUGGGCCUUUCUUUGGAAAUUUCAUCUGCAACUCUAAAUAAACCCGCUUGUAUCUCUGAUGCUUCCAUUUGGAUUAAAAAGCCAAAUGAUCUUGUUUUAAGUUUCGUACAGGGAACGUUUGAAGGUACAUGGAGAUGGAUAACCAACACUGGACCUGGGCUCCAACUUAGCACACAGAAAAAUAAACACAUUUUUAAGCUUUUUUUUUUCCUGCUUUCUUUAACAAAUUGUUCUGAGCCUGUUGUAGUGCUUAAAUUCA